UUUCCGUAGGUGAACCUGCGGAAGGAUCAUUACUGAGUGAGGGCCCUCUGGGUCCAACCUCCCACCCGUGUUUAUUAUACCUUGUUGCUUCGGUGAGCCCGCCUCACGGCCGCCGGGGGGCAUCUGCCCCCGGGCCCGCGCCCACCGAAGACACCUAGAACUCUGUAUGAAGAUUGCAGUCUGAGCGAAAACUAAAUAAGUUAAAACUUUCAACAACGGAUCUCUUGGUUCCG
rnacentral:misc_RNA from 1 species